CGCGGCCUAUCAGCUUGUUGGUGAGGUAAUGGCUCACCAAGGCGUCGACGGGUAGCCGGCCUGAGAGGGUGACCGGCCACACUGGGACUGAGACACGGCCCAGACUCCUACGGGAGGCAGCAGUGGGGAAUAUUGCACAAUGGGCGAAAGCCUGAUGCAGCAACGCCGCGUGAGGGAUGACGGCCUUCGGGUUGUAAACCUCUUUUAGCAGGGAAGAAGCGAAAGUGACGGUACCUGCAGAAAAAGCGCCGGCUAACUACGUGCCAGCGGCCGCGGUAAUACGUAGGGCGCAAGCGUUAUCCGGAAUUAUUGGGCGUAAAGAGCUCGUAGGCGGUUUGUCGCGUCUGCUGUGAAAUCCCGAGGCUCAACCUCGGGCCUGCAGUGGGUACGGGCAGACUAGAGUGCGGUAGGGGAGAUUGGAAUUCCUGGUGUAGCGGUGGAAUGCGCAGAUAUCAGGAGGAACGCCGAUGGCGAAGGCAGAUCUCUGGGCCGUAACUGACGCUGAGGAGCGAAAGGGUGGGGAGCAAACAGGCUUAGAUACCCUGGUAGUCCACCCCGUAAACGUUGGGAACUAGUUGUGGGGACCAUUCCACGGUUUCCGUGACGCAGCUAACGCAUUAAGUUCCCCGCCUGGGGAGUACGG
rnacentral:rRNA from 1 species